rnacentral:rRNA from 1 species
UACGGGGGGAGCAAGCGUUGUUCGGAUUUACUGGGCGUAAAGGGCGCGUAGGCGGCGCAACAAGUCACUUGUGAAAUCUCCGGGCUUAACCCGGAGCGGCCAAGUGAUACUGUCGUGCUAGAGUGCGGAAGGGGCUACUGGAAUUCUCGGUGUAGCGGUGAAAUGCGUAGAUAUCGAGAGGAACACCUGCGGCGAAGGCGGGUAGCUGGGCCGACACUGACGCUGAGGCGCGAAGGCCAGGGGAGCAAACAGG